GAUGGGAAUCCAAUUUUGCCCAAAACCACUGCAUUGGUGAUCGAACCCUCGCGAUUCCUUUGCGUUUAGAGAUCACUGUGGAAAGUAGGGCAACGAUGGGGCCGCCGUUCACAUAACCGAAAUACAUUUUUCUCCUCCAUCCGCUCCGUCAUCUGUCUCCUUCAUCCGCUCCUUCCGCUCCUUCCGCUCUGCUCCUACCCGAAACCAUUGAGGAAGAUGAACUAGAUGUUGAAUGGGAAAUUCAGUUUUUACCAUUCAUGCGGCUAUUACAGAUCAGCUUUUUUUUCAAUGUUGCUGAAACGAUGCUGGCGUGCAGGUAUUAGAAGUGGAGGGAAUUGGAAGAGACAUGAAGCGAAAAGGAAGUGAAAUAGAGCAAAAUGCAAUUUAGUGGGUUGGGGCCUUUGCGCCAGACUUCUUGGGCGCCUUGGUGCCAGCUGCAAUCCAUGCAAUCCAAGAUGUUGGAGCCUAAGCACCACCCACUGGGUGCUAAGGCCCCAGAUGUGAAGGUCAUGGUCUUGGCGCCUGAAUUAUUGGGUGCCUAGGUGCCAGAACCGAAUCUGAUGCAAUCACAGUAGUUCGACCUACCUGUUCGAAUCGUUGUUUGGGCGGAAUGCAGGCAAUUUGAAUAGAGUAUAUUAUAGGCUAUUUAAAGAAGACUUGGAGAGUUUUACAGAGAGCUUCUGGGAAAGGAAAGAAGGGAAGUUCCUCUGCUUUUGAAAAAGAUAUCUUUAAAGUAGAAGGCUUGCUCUAGGCUAGAGAUAACUAGUAUAGAGUAGAGAAUUGGUGAGGAUCUGAGUGUUAAAGUAAGGAGAGUAGGAAAGCAACAAGAGCAUUUGUGGAGCAUUCUCAAUGCGUUUUUGAG